GACGAACUGUCCUAACGUUGUUCGGAAUCACUGGGCUUAAAGGGCGCGUAGGCGGUCGAUCAAGUCAGGGGUGAAAUCCUGCAGCUUAACUGUAGAAGUGCCUUUGAUACUGGUCGUCUCGAGGGAGGUAGGGGUGUGUGGAACUUCCAGUGGAGCGGUGAAAUGCGCAGAUAUCAGGAGGAACACCGGUGGCGAAGGCGACAUCCUGGACCGGUAUUGACGCUGAGGCGCGAAAGCCAGGGGAGCAAACGGG
rnacentral:rRNA from 1 species